UGAUUAACUUUUAAUCACAAACAUGCAUUUAACCUUGGUAUUCUUUUACAUUCUUUUACAUCAUUUCUUCUCUUAUACAUUAUUCAUAUUCUUUCACUUAAACAUCUAUAAUCAUCAAGUACAAAAGAUGAUAUACAAAAAGGGGUAUGCAACUAUACAAAUGAAACCAUCUCGGGUGGUCCCUAUUUAUGGCGCGAUGCUUUUACCGCGAUCGUCGACCGGCUCACUCGGUCCCGGCUCUGUGGAAAUAGUGGGGUGAGAACUACAACAAAGUUC
rnacentral:lncRNA from 1 species